rnacentral:rRNA from 2 species
UCCGGUAGCGAUGCGCUUAGGGGAAACACCCGUUCCCAUCCCGAACACGACGGUUAAGACCUAAGCGGCCGAUGGUACUGCACUGGAGACGGUGUGGGAGAGCAGGUGGCUGCCGGAU